rnacentral:rRNA from 1 species
ACACGCAUGACACACUGCAUAUCAAUAAGCGGAGGAAAAGAAACUAACAAGGAUUCCCUUAGUAACGGCGAGUGAAGCGGGAAGAGCUCAAAUUUGAAAUCUUCAAGGUUCUACCUUGACGAAUUGUAGUUUAUAGAAGUGUUUUCUGUUAGUGGAGUGGCAAAAGUUCUUUGGAAUAGGACAUCAUAGAGGGUGAGAAUCCCGUAUUUGGUCAUUCCUUCUAGCGUUGUGAUACACUUUCAACGAGUCGGAUUGUUUGGGAAUGCAGUCCAAAAUGGGUGGUAAAUUUCAUCUAAAGCUAAAUAUUGGCGAGAGACCGAUAGCGAACAAGUACCGUGAGGGAAAGAUGAAAAGAACUUUGAAAAGAGAGUUAAACAGUACGUGAAAUUGUCAAAAGGGAAGCGUUUGACACCAGUGUUGUUUUUCCGAAAAUCAAUUACGAAUGUUUUGUUUUUGAGGAGUUAUGACUUCAUCGGCUUGCUCCUCUCUUUAUCGAAACUUUCUUAAUGCACUUUUCGGUUAACAAGUCAACAUCAAUUUCUUUUGUUGUAAAAGGGUAUGAGGAAGGUGGCUUUCUUUUCGGAGAAAGUGUUUAUAGCCUUGUAGCCUCUGCAAUCGGAGAGAUUGAGGUCUGCAGCGUAGAUCCUUCGGGGUUAGAUACAGUUUGUGCUAAGUUAUAGCUUUUCAUAGACAACUUGUUGACUAUGUUAGUCUUGUAGCUUACUCGCUUAUGCUAUUUUACCUACGCUUAGGAUGUUGAAGAUGUAGCACAUCAU